CCUACGGGUGGCAGCAGUGAGGAAUAUUGGUCAAUGGGCGCGAGCCUGAACCAGCCAAGUAGCGUGAAGGAUGACUGCCCUACGGGUUGUAAACUCCUUUAUAAAAGAAUAAAGUUAGGCACGUUUUCCUUUUUUUAUGUACUUUAUUAAUAAAGAUCCGCUAACUCCGUGCCAGCCGCCGCGGUAAUACUGAGGAUCCGAGCGUUAUCCGGAUUUAUUGGGUUUAAAGGGAGCGUAGAUGGGUUGUUAAGUCAGUUGUGAAAGUUUGCGGCUCAACCGUAAAAUUGCAAUUGAUACUGGCAGUCUUGAGUACAGUUGAGGUAGGCGGAAUUCGUGGUGUAGCGGUGAAAUGCUUAGAUAUCACGAAGAACUCCGAUUGCGAAGGCAGCUUACUAAACUGCCACUGACAUUGAUGCUCGAAAGUGUGGGUAUCAAACAGGAUUAGAUACCCCUGUAGUC
rnacentral:rRNA from 1 species